UGGGGAAUCUUGGACAAUGGGCGCAAGCCUGAUCCAGCCAUGCCGCGUGAGUGAUGAAGGCCUUAGGGUUGUAAAGCUCUUUUGCCGGGGACGAUAAUGACGGUACCCGGAGAAUAAGUCCCGGCUAACUUCGUGCCAGCAGCCGCGGUAAUACGAAGGGGACUAGCGUUGUUCGGAAUCACUGGGCGUAAAGCGCACGUAGGCGGAUUUGUAAGUCAGGGGUGAAAUCCCGGGGCUCAACCUCGGAACUGCCUUUGAUACUGCGGAUCUCGAGUCCGAUAGAGGUGAGUGGAAUUCCUAGUGUAGAGGUGAAAUUCGUAGAUAUUAGGAAGAACACCAGUGGCGAAGGCGGCUCACUGGCCCGAUACUGACGCUGAGGUGCGAAAGCGUGGGAGCAAACAGGAUUAGAUACCCCAGUAGUCCCUGAGCGGGCUGGCAAGGCGCAU
rnacentral:rRNA from 1 species